UUGUUCUCGUCCUGACGCUGGGUGGCACUGUUGUGCGGUCCCGAUCUUGGAUGAACAAAGACUGAGUGUGGCCCUAAUCCCUGCUUCCUGAAACUCACCUGUAGUCCAAGAUAGAGUAGGGGAAACACGUUUGCGUCUCUAGUAAAAUGAGAUACGUAGAUAACGAAGCAGGCAAACCUCGCGAUUAUGUAAAAGUCAGUCGGUUUCCCGGUGACACAAGCUGAGCCUGAAAUCUUUUUCGAUUUAGAGAUCAGAUUCAACACUCAGGCCCCUAAAAUAGUCCUUUUAGGGGUGCUUUUUCUUUUAACAACCUCAGAAUAAUCCACAAAGACAUGCGAUCUUAUGUACAAUAUAGAGGGACUAUAGACAUCCUGGUUUAAUUCUUCUCGGUGAUGCUACGGAAAUCCAGCCCUGUCUUCCCUUGAGUUACCUAUGCCAACCUGUUCCAGAGAAACUGUUUCUGUAGUGUCCCUCAGCUGCCAAGUUUCCGUGUCACCAGAGGCGACUCACCAUCAUCUAUUUCCAAAACAGCAGAUCCAUUAACUGGCCAGAGACCGUUUACUGUGUCAUUUGGAGCUACACAUAUAAUAUCUCAACUCCAAAGAGAGAAGAGAAGGAAGAAAGGAUCUCAAGACCCCAAAGCAAAAGGCCUGUGUCUUGGUCAGUGGGUGCCCUCCUCUCUGUCAUGCACUAAUAGAGCUCUAGAAAGGCUCAGGAGAUGGACUGAGGCAGGGGCAUGACCAGAGAAUGUCAGCAACAGGCUGUGAGAAGGGCACAAAUGUCCCUUGAUGGUAACAGGAUUCCUUGCACAGACUGGGAGCAGCAUCUUCUCAUCUCAGGAGGUGCUUUGGAGCAACCCGGGGCCUGGCACAUGGUAGGCAAGUGUUCUACCACCAAGCUACAUCCCUGGCCAGAUUUUAUUAUUUAUGCUGUAUUGUGACCAUUUUACCUAGCCAGGGUGGUGAUUCAUGGAAGAUGUCAACUGGAGGUUAGGGCUAUAGGACAAUUUACUGCCACUUCUGCCUCCUUUUAGGAUAACAACGCUCGGGGGAACAUGACUUUUUCUCUAAAUUAUCAGCCAUCUAAGAUAGCUGCCGUACCACACACCCAUUUCUCAGCCACUGCCCUCCACGUAUCUGGACACCGCAGUACUCACGCCUGAAGCCAAGAGUAGCCACUCUGCCUUGUCUGGCCUUGCUUCAUCUUUUCUCGCCCACGCCGCCCUGAGACUUGGACCUGCUAGACCUGAACCCAACACCACACCUUAUAUCUUAGUUACUUUUCUACUAUCCUAAUAAAACACCAUGA